AAAGCACAGCCGAGGACCGCUUCCUGCCGGAGGUAGCUGUGCCAAGCAGAGCAACGUUCAUCGCUGCUCCGAAUUUUGUUGCCCAUGCCCACUUGUGAGCGCUCGUCUCUUGGACAGAGGCAGCCAGGCAGCCUUAUACUGACAGCAUUUUCCAGUCCCAGGGAAAACCUCCACCCUCCCAAGCUCAGAUCCUGAUCAGACUCAAGAUAGAGCCUGCCAAGCGAUUGCCUCCCUUUGUUUCUGGCAUCAAGACUUUAUGAGUGCCAGAAAAGCUGGGUUGAGUCCUCAGGCUCCCCUUCUCCUCAUCCUUCCCAGCAGGAUAAGAAGGAACAAUUUGGGAUGCUGCUGCAGCAUGGAUAAAGGAGGAAAAGGAUUCACUAAUUCUUCAGAUAAAGAACAAACCACAUGCUUCCCUCACAUUUCUUCUGAGGAGAACAAAGCCAGCAUCUCCUCAGCUUUCCACAGAAACUCCACAACUGGUUGCAAGUGACCAAUUUAGGAUGAGUUGGUGAAGUCACGGUGGAAACUGUGUUGUCAUCAGUGAAGAAAUAUUUAAGCUGGAAAGGAAGGGACCUGUGAGAGUUUUUCAGACCGAAAACAUGAAAAGCCUCAUUCACCAACUUAAUUGUAUCUAUUCACCAAAACACACCAUGACAGCAAAAGUCCUCUCUUCAGUCUUGCAAAGGAAGAAGCAUCUGCUGCUCACAGGAAGGUACGUCAGUUACUCCACACGUAAACCAACCCUCACAGGAUUCUGGUGGGAGGGAUGGAGGUUCCAAGAAAAUAAGCCAUGGUAAUGGAGGAGAGGACGAUGAUAGUAAAUAUUCUAAUCUCCAUUUCUUCCUUUGUCUGUUUCUGGGUAUUUUAGAGGUAGCACUGCUGAGUGGUAAAAAUAUGGAUAAAAUAGAUCUGAGUUACAUCCCAGUUUGAACCCAUUGAAUGGAGAGAUAACUAAAUCAGGAUAUGAUAUUUAUUUAUUUCAAUAUAUAUUUGCAACAUGUCUUGUUUUAGUCAGCCUAGGCUGUAGGAUUAACCUGACCAAUAGACAUUUUUAAUUUUAAUUUCAUUGAGCAAUUAAAAGUCUUACUUCCUGUAUCUUGCUGUCUUCCAGUUCCAAAUGGACAGGAACUAACUUGUCUCUGCAUUUUUCGUUUACUCUUCUACUCUCACCCAUGCUUCAAAAGAGAUGAUCCACAACUGCCUGAACACUGCCAGCAAAGAGUUGCCCUGAGGAGAUGAGAGGUGGCUGCCCCUGCCCUGCAGGGAGACCUGAACGAGAGCCACCUGAGGAGCAGACCAGGUGCUCAGCCUAUGUGGGGCGGAGCUGUUCCGCAAGGUAGGAGGCUGCUGGCAGCACCAAAGGAAGAAGGCACAGAGACAGCAGCACCCAUGGGGCCCCCGCCACUCAAGCGCCCUAAGAAAGCUCCACCCAAACCAGUGCUGCUCCAGCCCUGCCAGUCCCUGCUGCAGCAGCACAGAGGGAAACGUGCCAGCCUCUGGCCCCCUUCAAGCUGCCACUGAGCAGACAGAUAAUUCUGGCAAUAUGUUUGAGUAAUACACCUUCUCCACUCUCAGGUCCUUUCAGUUAUUUAUCUAUUUAUCUCUGUAAUGGUUCUGGAAAUAAA
ensembl:lncRNA